rnacentral:rRNA from 1 species
UACGGAGGGUGCGAGCGUUGUCCGGAAUCAUUGGGCGUAAAGGGCGCGUAGGUGGCCCGGUCAGCGUGCGGUGAAAGCUCGGGGCUCAACCCCGAGUCGGCCGUGCGAACUGCUGGGCUGGAGCACUGUAGAGGCAGGCGGAAUUCCAGGUGUAGCGGUGAAAUGCGUAGAUAUCUGGAGGAACACCGGUGGCGAAGGCGGCGUUCUGGACUGCAACUGACACUGAGGAACGAAAGCCAGGGGAGCAAACAGG